rnacentral:rRNA from 1 species
GCUGGCGGCACGCCUUAUACAUGCAAGUCGAACGAAGUAGCAAUACUUAGUGGCAGACGGGUGAGUAACAUGUAGGUAUCUUCCCUUUGGUGAGGAAUAACACGAGGAAACUUGUGCUAAUACCUCAUAAGUCUUUACGGAGAAAGCUUUAUGCGCCGAAGGAUGAGCCUGCACUUGAUUAGUUUGUUGGUGGGGUAAUGGCCUACCAAGACUUUGAUCUAUAGCUGAUCUGAGAGGAUGAUCAGCCACAUUGGGACUGAGACACGGCCCAAACUCCUACGGGAGGCAGCAGUAGGGAAUAUUGCACAAUGGAGGAAACUCUGAUGCAGCGAUGCCGCGUGAGUGAAGAAGGCCUUUGGGUUGUAAAGCUCUUUCGUCGGGGAAGAAAAUGACUGUACCCGAAUAAGAAGGUCCGGCUAACUUCGUGCCAGCAGCCGCGGUAAUACGAAGGGACCUAGCGUAGUUCGGAAUUACUGGGCUUAAAGAGUUCGUAGGUGGUUAAAAAAGUUGGUGGUGAAAUCCCAGAGCUUAACUCUGGAACUGCCAUCAAAACUUUUUAGCUAGAGUAUGAUAGAGGAAAGCAGAAUUUCUAGUGUAGAGGUGAAAUUCGUAGAUAUUAGAAAGAAUACCAAUUGCGAAGGCAGCUUUCUGGAUCAUUACUGACGCUGAGGAACGAAAGCAUGGGUAGCGAAGAGGAUUAGAUACCCUCGUAGUCCAUGCCGUAAACGAUGUGUGUUAGACGUUGGAAAUUUAUUUUCAGUGUCGCAGCGAAAGCAUUAAACACACCGCCUGGGGAGUACGACC